GAGAUCCCGCCUUCCAAGUGUAGUUUCAAGGGCAAUUUCCUGCCACAGUGCUAGGUUAAUUUUCUGUAGAUUGUCUCAUAUCACCCUUUACUUUGUCCAGUUACUAAUUUAUAAUGACUCAGACAUUACCUCACUAAGGUCUGCUUCCUCCUUUAUGAGGAGAAUCUAUAAGGACAGGAACAGCGCUCCUUUGCCUCAUACCAUGUCACCUGUGGCUCAAGUAGUCCUGGCACAAGGGUGGGACUCAUCAAAUGUCGAAUUGUUAAUGGGCAAGUGGCCUGCUGCUGAUGUUGUUUGAGGCAGGCUAGCCGUCUCUCCGGUAGGCAAGGGAUGGCUUUGCCAAGCAGCCAACCUGUGUGGGUUCCCUUGGCAACUCUAAAUGGCAUACUUCUGCUUCCAUUAUCCCUACAUCGAGCCCAAGACAUGACCAUAGGGCCUUCUCAGUGAAAACAUGACAUUGCCAGCCACUCAAAAGCCCUCCAAGUUUCUGCCUGGAAAGCGCCAUCUACCACCAUCAGGCUAGAUCCACUUCUCCCUUGAUGGGCUGCAUGGACCAGUAUCCCUCAGCUCCUCACACAGAGAGCCCUGUCCACAGAGCUGCUCCUAGGUGGCAGCUGCAACCAAGACAGCCAAGAAAAGCCACAGCUCCCCAUGCCUUCUCACUGAAGAAUUCAGUCAGCAAACAAACAUCCUCCUCACUGCCAUUAGGCAACCUGUUGGAUUGUACGCUAAUUUAAAAGGUGAGUUAAUUAAAAUGUCUUCGUAAUUGAAAACCGAUUAAGAUAAAUUCUAAGGCCACCAACUUGCCAUCCAUGAGCAGACACUUCUCUGAUUUUCUCUUUUCUUUGGUUCUUCUGUCCCAUUCUUUUCCUCCCUCUUUUAAUUUAAUUUUAUCUCCUAGGAAAGAGUUACAUGGAGAAAGGUUUGAGAAGCUGAAGGAGGUGCUCUGGGUUUCCCUGGGUUUGCACACAAGCUCAGCCCAACAGGGUAAGAUACUAGAUAGCAAAAUCGCCAAGUGUUGAGGACCUGCUUCUCCAGAAAACAGAUAUGAAGAGGAUGUUUCUUUUAAUCUAGCCUAGGCUGAUUUAUCCCCUAAACAUCUGCCAGUUGGCCAGCAGUCUGGUAGAAAACACUUUUGCAGAAAGACUUUAACUAGCAAAUCCAUCAAUGAAGCACUUGGGUUUUAUGAAUAACUACCUUCAAUUACAUAAAUUCUCUUUGCUGAGCCUUUGCAGAAAGCACAAAUGUGUGUACUCGAAAGUCUCGCCAUUAUGAAAUUAACUAGGUCUCACUUGCCUUCCUGUAGCACUGCCAAUAACUACACAGGGAGAGUGCACGAGGCCAAGCCCCUUCGUCCUUGCUGCCAUCACAAGAGAAGUCUCUGUACCACAGACUGGAUUCGCACUGAGACAAAUGGACUCACAUGUGUAUUAUAGCUAUGCAAGCGUAUUCCAAGUGGGGACCUCGAACCACAAAGCUGGAGUAAGAGAAACAGAAUGAAAGGAAUACAUGGCCGCAUUUGAGGAGUGCAGGAUUAUAUCAGCACUUGGGAUGAACAAGAAGAAGAAGAAAAAGAAGGAGGAGGAGGAGAAGGAGAAGAAGGAGGAGGAGAAGAAGAGACCAGACUUUUGAGAGCAGCCUGACUGGCAUAGUGAAACUGUAUCUUUAAAAACAAGACAGAGAAAUGUUUAUAUUUUUUUUAUUUUCUCCUUUUAUAGUUAUAUGUUAUUUAUUUAUUUUUUAGAAAAUAUUUUUACAUAUAUAUACACAUAUUUAUAUAUCUUACUCUCUUCUCUCUUUUGGCACCCUCAGGUUAGUAUCCUUUGUUCUUCUAGACAGUAUUACAUAUUUAUUGUAUGUACUUAUUGUAUUAUAUAUUUAAUGUGCAUAUAUAUGAUUUCAUGCAACUGUACAAAAUCUAGGAAUCACAAAUUAAAGAAAACUUAUGAUAGUUACACAUCAUUAUUCUUAGUAAUUCCUAAGUGUAUCAGAUACUCUAGUUUAGUAAACAUUUUGUAUGUAUAGACUCUAUUUUAUUGCUAUCAGUAAUAUAUGAAUAACAUUUUCUUGGGUUUCCUAUGAGGAGAUUUGGAGAAAAU
rnacentral:lncRNA from 1 species